rnacentral:lncRNA from 1 species
ACUGGCAGCGACAAGUUGAGACUUGUUCAACUUGACACAGUCCUGUGGUCAUAGCGAAUCUUUCUAAAGCUCUGAUCAGUCAAGAAGGGGGUUGUAUCAAUCCUCAGAACCCUGAGUGGAACUUUCUACAGGAUUUAUUAGGAGAAAAACCUUCCCGGAAGCUGCAGAAGGACAAAUACAGAAUCCGUGUCUGGGAGAAACCUCGUGGCCUGGUCUCCAUUAUUUGAGAUGAGUUACAUCUUGGAGGCCUGAUCUUUUGGCCAGAAGGAGAUUAAAAAGAUGCCCCUCAAGAUGGCUGUGCCUGUCAGCUGCAUGGAGCUUCGUUCAAGUAUUUUCUGAGCCUGAUGGAUUUACAGUGAUCUUCAGUGGUCUGGGGAAUAACGCUGGUGGAACCAUGCACUGGAAUGACACACGCCCGGCACAUUUCAGGAUACUAAAAGUGGUUUUAAGGGAGGCUGUGGCUGAAUGCCUCAUGGAUUCUUACAGCUUGGAUGUCCAUGGGGGACGAAGGACUGCAGCUGGCUGAGAGGGUUGAGAUCUCUGUUUACUUAGAUCUCUGCCAACUUCCUUUGGGUCUCCCUAUGGAAUGUAAGACCCCGACUCUUCCUGGUGAAGCAUCUGAUGCACGUUCCAUCCGGCGCUCAGCUGGGCUUGAGAAUCCUGUUACACCUGGGAUUUAGGCACUUUCAAUCUGAAAAAAUACAUAUCCUUUCAGCACUCUGGACGGACUUGAGAACUGUCCUUACGUGACCUAAAGCUGGAGUAUUUUGAGAUUGGAGAAUUAAGGCCAACAGAGAUUUUGAGAAACACAUUGAAGGAUCUGUUAACACUUGAUAUACCCAAUAAAAGCAGUGGUUGUGCCAGUGCUGAUCUGUCUUGAUGUGAAUGUGAACAAUGGGAACCUGAGCUGAGCAGUUAAUGCUAGGGUGACAGAAACUGGACCUCUCCCAAGACAUGUGACAGAGUAAUACAGCAGCCAACUUCUUCGCCAAAUUAAAGUUUUACAAGAUUUAACCUGUCAUCAAGACCUGGGAUUUUGGUGAAGGACAGAAUAACGGGCUCCCAGAUUCACAAGCCCCACCAAGAGGAUCACCCCAGGAACGCUUGGAGGCUGAGGAGUUCACUGAGGCUACUGCAUCUUGAGACUCAGGAUGAAGACCCAGCUUGGGGCUGUCAAAGGUUUUUUGCAUGUCUGACACCCAUGACUCCACCUGGACCUUAUGGCUCCACCCAGAAGCAAUUCAGCCCAACAGGAGGACAGCUUCAACCCAUUACGAUUUCAUCUCUGCCCCAACCACUCAGCAGCAAGCACCUGUUACCUGUCCACCCCCACCCCUUCCCCCAAACUGCCUUUGAAAAAUCCCUAACCUAUGAGCUUUGAAUAAGAUGAGUACGAACUUCAUCGCCCACGUGGCGUGGCCGGCCUCGUGUCUAUUAAAUUCUUUUUCUACUAC